ACAAAUCUACAGCACGAUUUCAAAGUCAUAUGAUAAUCACAGGCUGUCAUAUCGCACCAUACUAUCACCCCCAAUCGAAAGGUCCUUCAAUUUUUUUUAUUCUUUAUCAUUCCUCGAUAAUAUCAUUGCGCACGCACACACAAUUACCACAAAAUUUUCAAAUUCUAUAUUCAACUUACAUAUUCCGCACCACCGAGUGGUCUAUUAUCUCUCGACGAGGUUAAUACGUACGUUAUCAUUUUACUCCCCCCGAAAUAAUCGAUUUUUUAAUUUGAUGAGAAAUUAUGAUAAAUGUGUUGCUGGUAUGCUAGCACAUGGAUUUAAUUUACAAGAGGAAAAUUUAAUGUCUGGAAAUAGUUGUUUACUGUUGGUCGAUGAUAAUUUAUAGGGUACCAGUGGGCUAUUGUUUGCCGGAUGGAUGAAAUCGGCUUAGAGGGAAACCAGCCCAACUGCAUCCAAUAUCUAGGCUCUCCUCACUAACGGCAUUGUUUCUAGUGUGGUCGAGCAUACGGUAUAGCUAAAUAUCUCACAACUAGCCAGUUCACAACGUCCCAACGGCUAACCACUAACCACCAGGACAACUGUGAUCCACUUGUACAACUAAGUCACUUGUAAUAAAUGUUUGUUGGUUCACCAUUGAAUGAUUCGCUAGAUUAUAUCAUCAUCGUGCCAACAGAUACAAAUGAGCAGUACACGAGAAUAAUUAUUCCCCAGAAGUAGAGACUCAUUGCCAGGCAUAAAAAAAAUAUACUAAAUAUUUAUUUUAGAGAAAGAGAGGAAAUACCACGAGGAAUCGGGUGCUGUACACAGAAUAACGCUAACCCUUGCGACGGAGUAAAAGGAUAUUCUGGGGAAAUUACUCAUGCAAUUAUCGGCCUCUCCACGAUCUCUCUGGUAACUUGAUGCAUUACAUGGUUUAGAUGUGUGGCUCGUCACCUUGGGUAUACAAGCUCAGCUGAGGUUCCGGAGAUAUACGAAAAUAUCGCAUCAAAGGAAAAUAUUGUGCACAUAACGAGUAAUACGUUCCAGAAUCGUCGAUACGUUCCAGAAUAGUAGAAUGACCACCAACUUUCUUCACUGUUAUAAUAGUACUAUAUUGGAAAUUACGUUGAGGGAGAGUGCUCUUGUUGUUACGAGAAAGUUUGAGUGGCUCUCUUUCG